GCUCGGACUCUUGCUUCCUGUUGCUUUGAGGCAGAGCCGUGUGCCUCAUAGGAUGGCUAAGAACUUGGCAGACUCCAAGAAAGCCUUAGGACUUGGGUCUCUGUGGACAUCUCUGCAGCUGGGAUUACACACAGGCUUGCGUGACACCAGCCUGGGGUCUCCAGUCUUUAAGGCCAGCUCCACUGAGCUCCAUUCCCCAGGACAAUAACCGGAUGAAGGUUCUUGGCUGAGUAAGUCUUCAUGUACUUGGCUUCACUCUUUAUUUGUAAUCUCCACCAACAUCUGAAAUCAUCACACGGGGAUGAAAACUCAAGAUACCCACAGUGACCCUUUCAAACUGUCUAACGAGUCCAAAAGCGAUUCAAAAUGGGAAACGUAAUGAAGUGGAAACACGUCCACCCUGAUCAUCAGGGUGGUCUGUGCUCAAUGGAGACCACCACCUGUGCAGCCUUGUGCAGCCCUUCACCUCGAGCUUGCUCGCUCUUUUUGGACCCUGACUCUUCUGCAUCUCCAUCCUCCUGGCACUGGCAAGCUUCCAGCAAGCUUGCCCUGUUUUUCUUUCAAGACUGCAAUACAAUGGCCCUCAAGC
rnacentral:lncRNA from 1 species